GACGAACGCUGGCGGCGUGCCUAAUACAUGCAAGUAGAACGCUGAAGGAGGAGCUUGCUCUUCUGGAUGAGUUGCGAACGGGUGAGUAACGCGUAGGUAACCUGCCUGGUAGCGGGGGAUAACUAUUGGAAACGAUAGCUAAUACCGCAUAACAGUAGAUGUUGCAUGACAUUUACUUAAAAGGUGCAAUUGCAUCACUACCAGAUGGACCUGCGUUGUAUUAGCUAGUUGGUGGGGUAAAGGCUCACCAAGGCGACGAUACAUAGCCGACCUGAGAGGGUGAUCGGCCAACAUGGGACUGGGACACGGCCCAGACCCCUACGGGAGGCAGCAGUAGGGAAUCUUUGGCAAUGGACGGAAGUCUGACCGAGCAACGCCGCGUGAGUGAAGAAGGGUUUCGGAUCGUAAAGCUCUGUUGUAAGAGAAGAACGAGUGUGAGAGUGGAAAGUUCACACUGUGACGGUAUCUUACCAGAAAGGGACGGCUAACUACGUG
rnacentral:rRNA from 1 species